rnacentral:misc_RNA from 1 species
GAUGAAGAACGCAGCGAAAUGCGAUAAGUAAUGUGAAUUGCAGAAUUCAGUGAAUCAUCGAAUCUUUGAACGCACAUUGCGCCCGCCAGUAUUCUGGCGGGCAUGCCUGUUCGAGCGUCAUUUCAACCAUCAAGCCCCCGGCUUGUGUUGGGGACCUGCGGCUGCCGCAGGCCCUGAAAUGCAGUGGCGGGCUCGCUGUCACUCCGAGCGUAGUAGUUACAUCUCGCCCUGGGCGUGCUGCGGGUUCCGGCCGUUAAAAGCCUUAUUUACCCAAGGUUGACCUCGGAUCAGGUAGGAAGACCCGCUGAACUUAAGCAUAUCAAUAAGCGGAGGA